UAGGGAAUAUUGGGCAAUGGACGCAAGUCUGACCCAGCCAUGCCGCGUGUAGGAAGACGGCCCUCUGGGUUGUAAACUACUUUUAUCAGGGAAGAAGAGUGGGCUUGCGAGCCCAUGUGACGGUACCUGAGGAAUAAGCACCGGCUAACUCCGUGCCAGCAGCCGCGGUAAUACGGAGGGUGCAAGCGUUGUCCGGAUUUAUUGGGUUUAAAGGGUGCGUAGGUGGCCUUUUAAGUCAGCUUUGAAAGCUGGUCGCUUAACGAUCAGGGGUGGGUUGAUACUGGAAGGCUUGGAUCAGGUGGCGGUUUCUGGAACGGGUCGUGUAGCGGUGAAAUGCAUAGAUAUGACCCAGAACUCCGAUUGCGAAGGCAGGAGGCUACGCCUGUAUUGACACUGAGGCACGAGAGCAUGGGGAGCAAACAGG
rnacentral:rRNA from 1 species